rnacentral:lncRNA from 10 species
AAAAAGGGCACCGGACAAGAUACAGCCAUUUAUAAGAGGCCCCAGAAGAAACAACCUUCGAUACCUUGACCUUGGACUUCUAGCCUCCAGAAGUGUGAGGAAAUAAAUUUCUGUUGUUUAAGCCACUGAGCCUUUGGUACUUUGUUAUGGCAGCCCCCAAAAACUAAUACUUAAACAAUUCAUCUCUGGUUCUUCUUUCUCUUUUCCUGCCCACCUCUUAAACAUUGGUAUUCCUCAGAGUUCUACAUGGUCCUCCUUUCUCCUGUUACAUAGUCUUCCUGGAUAAGAAAGGGCUCUACAAUUAGACUUGAAUUCAAAUGCUAGCCAUCAAUUAAAAGCUGGCUAUAAAUUCCCAAAUCUACAUUUAAUUUUCUUUUUGUAUAAAAAAUGGGGAUAAGAAUAUGAUAUGUUUUUCUUAAGAGUUGUUGGGAGGACUAAUAAUAAUAAUAGGGUGGGUGAGGUGGCUCAUGCCUAUAAUCCCAGCACUUUGGGAGGUUGGUGUGGGAAGAGCUCUUGAACCCAGGAGUUUAAGACCAGCCUGUGCAACAUAGCAAGAUUCUGUCUCUCCAAAAAAAAAAAAAAAAAAAAAUUUAAUUACCUAUGUGUGGUAGUGUGUGCUUUUAGUCCCAGCUACUUGGGAGGCCAAGGCAGGAGGAUCACUUCAGCCAAGGAGUUCAAGGCUGCAAUAAGCUAUGAUCAAGCCACUGCCACUGCCACUUGCCUGGGCAACAGAGUGAGACUGCAUCUCAGAAAUAAUAUCUUUUCUUGGCCG